AUUGAACGCUGGCGGCAGGCUUAACACAUGCAAGUCGAGCGAGCGGCGGACGGGUGAGUAAUGUCUGGGAAACUGCCUGAUGGAGGGGGAUAACUACUGGAAACGGUAGCUAAUACCGCAUACCAUCAGAUGUGCCCAGAUGGGAUUAGCUCGUGGGUGGGGUAAUGGCUCACCUAGGCGACGAGCCCUAGCUGGUCUGAGAGGAUGACCACCCACACUGGAACGGAGAAACGGUCCAGACUCCUACGGAGGGCAGCAGUGGGAAAUAUUGCCCAAUGGGCGCAAGCCUGAUGCGUCCAUGCCGCGGGUGUGAAGAAGGCCUUCGGGUUGUAAAGCAUUUUCAGCGAGGAGGCGUUACUCGCAGAAGAAGCACCGGCUAACUCCGGGCCAGCCGCCGCGGUAUUC
rnacentral:rRNA from 1 species